CCUACGGGGGGCUGCAGUGGGGAAUAUUGCACAAUGGGCGCAAGCCUGAUGCAGCCAUGCCGCGUGUGUGAAGAAGGCCUUCGGGUUGUAAAGCACUUUCAGCGGGGAGGAAGGCGUUAAGGUUAAUAACCUUGUCGAUUGACGUUACCCGCAGAAGAAGCACCGGCUAACUCCGUGCCAGCAGCCGCGGUAAUACGGAGGGUGCAAGCGUUAAUCGGAAUUACUGGGCGUAAAGCGCACGCAGACGGUCUGUCAAGUCGGAUGUGAAAUCCCCGGGCUCAACCUGGGAACUGCAUUCGAAACUGGCAGGCUAGAGUCUUGUAGAGGGGGGUAGAAUUCCAGGUGUAGCGGUGAAAUGCGUAGAGAUCUGGAGGAAUACCGGUGGCGAAGGCGGCCCCCUGGACAAAGACUGACGCUCAGGUGCGAAAGCGUGGGGAGCAAACAGGAUUAGAUACCCGAGUAGUC
rnacentral:rRNA from 1 species